UACGGAGGAUGCGAGCGUUAUCCGGAUUUACUGGGUGUAAAGGGAGCGUAGACGGUUAAUCAAGUCAGAAGUGAAAACCCAGGGCUCAACCUUGGGACUGCUUUUGAAACUGAGUAGCUAGAGUGCAGGAGAGGUAAGCGGAAUUCCUAGUGUAGCGGUGAAAUGCGUAGAUAUCGAGAGGAACACUCGUGGCGAAGGCGGGUUCCUGGACAUUAACUGACGCUGAGGCACGAAGGCCAGGGGAGCGAAAGGG
rnacentral:rRNA from 1 species